UGCGCAGGCGGAAUGAUAAGUCAGUGGUGAAAUCCUACAGCUCAACUGUAGAACCGCCAUUGAUACUGUUGUUCUUGAGUACAGUUGUAGUGGGCGGAAUAUGUCAUGUAGCGGUGAAAUGCAUAGAUAUGACAUAGAACACCGAUCGCGAAGGCAGCUCACUAAGCUGAAACUGACGCUGAGGCACGAAAGCGUGGGGAGCAAACAGGAUUAGAUACCCUGGUAGUCC
rnacentral:rRNA from 1 species